CCUGAAGGGGGCGCUGGAGGAGUACAUGAUGCGUUUGCCGAAGGUUCGCAUCCUGAGGACUAAGAAGAGGGAGGGGCUUAUCAGGACUCGCCUGCUGGGAGCCGGAGCUGCCAAAGGAGAAGUCAUCACCUUCCUGGACUCUCACUGCGAGGCCAACGUCAACUGGCUGCCUCCACUGCUCGACCGGAUCGCCGACAACAGGAAGACCAUCGUGUGUCGAUGAUCGACGUGAUCGACCACGACAACUUCGGCUAUGAGACCCAAGCCGGGGACGCCAUGAGGGAGCGUUUGACUGGGAGAUGUACUACAAACGGAUCCCUAUCCCCACAGAGCUGCAGAAGGACGACCCCAGUGAACCUUUCGAUUCACCGGUGAUGGCAGGCGGACUGUUUGCCGUGGACAGGAAGUGGUUCUGGGAGCUGGGAGGAUAUGACACGGGUCUGGAGAUCUGGGGAGGAGAGCAG